GCCGGGCGACGUGGCGGGCGCCUGUAAUCCCAGCUACUCGGGAGGCUGAGGCAGAAGAAUGGCGUGAACCCAGGAGGCGGAGCUUGCAGUGAGCUGAGAUCCGGCCACUGCACUCCAGCCUGGGCAAGAGAGCCAGACUCCGCCUCAA
rnacentral:sRNA from 1 species